CUUUUUGUGAGUUCUCUUAGCGCUUGCCCCUGCUGCGCAGUUCGCGAAAGCAACAUGGCGCCGUAAACUGUAUGUGCCGGUAUGUGUCGGUGCCGAUUUUCGCAAACGCUUGGGUUCCUUCAGCGUUCGACUGGAUGUGCUGUGAAUACCGCUGCUUUUUCGGUGCGCGCAAGCCGUGUGAAGACCGACGGCAGUGUUUCUUGGUGCGCGGUGAAGCGUAGCGAAGCCUGUGCCUCGGUGUGUUUAUGAAGCGGGGAUCGGCGCCUGUGUACCGACGGUAACUAGCAUUCGAGGAGCCUGCAGUGCGUGUUUGAGUGUCGGUAACAGUUCGUUUGCUUCGCUUUCCAGUGUCUCAGUAAGGUGCAGUGCGGCAUUUCGAAUUGACAACAUUUCGGCACGUUACUUGAGUGAUUCUGUGCUCGCACGGUAACGCAUGAACUACGCUGUGUAUUUGGUUCUUGCUUCGCCACGGGUUAGCCCGUGCGCUUCUAUUUUCUUGUGAGCAGUCCAGGCAAAUGCAGUGUUCGGGAGUGAAACGAUGUGCGUUAUGAACAGUGGUGCUGUGUUGACAUUUCCAAGACUUGUGAAGAGGCUGUGCCCGUGUGACAGAAUAUAAAAGCGUUGAUAACCGUGUUUCGCCCUACGAAGUGGCGUUUUCUUUUUUAACUCGUUGCUUCUCCUUCUUGUGAUAACCGUAAUCCGAACGUCAUAACGUGUCGAACCGAAGUCGCACGCCGAAACAUUCUGCUGUAAAUGUGGCUGCUUUGGCAGUGCGCCUUGACUGUUGUCCGGUGAAAACUUGGACUUGUACCUGGCAGCGAAAGCACGUGGACGUCACGCUUUGAUCCGGACAGAACACACUUCUCACUGGUGCCUUGCCUUGGAUGAAGUCGUAGACCAGCACCUGCUAACUACAGGUUUUCGAGUCCAUCUGUCCUGUCGUUUUGCACGGCACUGGAGCCUUUACUACAGCGGCCCAACGGCGACUUCUCACGCUUCACCAGUGGACGUACACGUCUUGCUAGCCUUGCAUUUCUACGUCAACGGCAGCUUCCAGUCCACAGACGUCUUUUGCCUGUGGCUGCAGAGUGCAUUCGAUUCCCGAUGACGCUGACGGCUGCUAAUAUCGUUGUGCCAUCGAUCGCAGACUUUCGUAAGGUCCUGGAAUCCAUCCAUUGCAAGCACUGGCAAAUCAAGCCACCUUAUGACUUGGAGCACCUGUAGAGAAAUAGGAAGGACUUGUGCUCCCUAAAUGUACAAGUCUUUUGCAACGGUAGGGGCGUCAUCAUCCAGCCGACCUCGAAGGGGCCUGGAAGCAUGCAUGGCAGCCUCAUCUGGAUGGACUGUGCUCUUCCUGGGAGUUCAAGGGCAGAAAACUGCCUAAUGGCUGGUUGCUAGGUGACUCUCGCUGUGCCUGAGAGCCAUGGGUGCUCACCCUCCUGUCCGUGGCUGGCCCAGCUGAGCAGCAGUGCAGUGCAGCCCCCACCCAUGCAAGACAAGUCAUACAGUGCGCCUUUGGUGUUCUUAGCAGGACACAGCAUAUCCGUCCGGCAUGGCAUUGACAGUAAUAGUAAUGAUGGUGAAUGUUUGUGGAAACCAUAAGAGCCUAUUAACAUGCAUUUGUUGAUUAUGAGUGUGUUUGUUGCUCACAAUCAUUUCUCCUAAUCAAGUGCAUUUUUUUUUCAAAGUGUACUUUUGGUAGGAAAAACGGCUUUGAGAAACAGAAACACACAUAAUCCGCAAAUGCUUUGUGUUUUCUAGUCUUCAAAAUUGUUCCUGCACAUUGUAUGAUGAGGUGGCUAAGUUAGAUAACGUUAAAGUGAUGAACAAUAGCUGUUGUCUUGUAACAUAGCAAUACAUGAGUACACUCUAAGAAAAAAUCGAGCAUUUUUUAGGAUUUCUGCCACACAACAAUAACAUAAUCUUGCUUGCUCGGGUUUUCUCUUUUGAAAACCUGGCUCUUGGCACUUUCCUAUCAAGAAUGCUGUCACUCUAAUAACGCGCGUAAUUCGUGACCGGGAAGUGCCGAAACCGUGGUGGUAACGCGAGGAAAGUACCUGAGAUGGAUGACGAUUGUAGUUGUGGGGUGCAAUACUCCCCAAAUACUACAUUUUUUCUUAGAGUGUAGCAUAGUGAACUCAUUUGUGGUAGGCUUCUUGCACCUAGUGUAAAGUCGAAAUAGAAGAUACUUUGUUGGCUUAUGCCUCACUAUUAGGCAGAAGUUUGUUGCCUUCAAAAUGAACAUCGUAGUUAUACAUUUAUAUCAUAAAAUAUUUUUCAAAGACUUCAUUGUUGGUGGCUCUAUGUUCAGACCUUUUUUUGUUUUUAAUAUUUCUUCAUACUUGUCAUCGGCUUCUGAAAAUACGAGAGCUGGAGUUCUAGCACAUAUCAGCUGUCCAGUUUUACACAUAGCACGGUUGUAACAAUCAUCUGUAUUUUUAUAUGUUCCAGCAGUAUCACGGGAUCAGGUGGCCCACUGUCAUCUAAUUGUACAGUGUAUCUCAGACAAAACGCACAAGGCCAACAAGUAGACAGCGACUACCAGUGACUGUGUCCUGCUGUUCAAUGUGCACGUCAACAGACAGAAUGCAUUGUGAUAUCUAGAACAGUUAGCAUUGUAUGGUGAGAAUCUGCACAGCUGCAGUUUAAUUGUUGAGCAGUGCAUCAUUCAGCAAUUCCUUGCACUUGAGGAUUCAAAAUUAAUUAAAUUCUGCAUUUAAUAUACGACGCCUUGACAUUAAUGUAAAGCACACUGUAGUGGUAAUGUGCAAAUUAAUUUCGGCUACCUUGAAUUUUCAACAUGCACGUAAAUCAAAUGCAUGUAUGUCUCUGCAUUUCACUGCCAUUAGAAACAGCAGCCAUGGUCGGCAACCAAAACCGUGUUUUCAUGUUUGGUAGUCCAAGAAUGAAACCAUUGAAGGGGGUAAUUUUGCACUUGGUCGAUAUAGUCGUUCAGGAUACGCGCAUUAGUAUAGCACAAAUGAUUUUAUGUUUAUAUAAGCUCUGGAAAGUCCUUUUCCACGCAUUAUUUAGAUGCAAGAGGAGCGUCCUAGUACGUCUAACAGGCUUUAGCACCUGUGUAAUGUUAUCCCAUCGCCGUUCUGUCCUCUUCAACAGUCAUCCUCUCUGUAUGUACUGUGUAAGUUUUAAUUUUUUUUCAUAUAGUGUUUGUUGCCAUAGUUUUCCCGAUAAUGUAAUUGUAUACUCUGCAAAUAGUUUCUCAUCUAUUCAGCUUUGCUCAUUUUACUGCUGAAAGUAUUUAUUACUUUUUGUAGGGUGAUUAUAGCAUGCAUUUACUUAUGCCUUUUGAUGCGUCUGUACAAUGGUUUAGCCUGAAGAAGGCUGUUGGUUUACUCUAAUCUUGAAACUGGCGACUUCAAACAAAUUUCAAGGCUGAUAACCAUUACUACUAUCUUCAGAUAAGUUGUGAUUGCUCCAUGAAAAUGUAUUUAAGAUUCUGUAAACUGUGCCAGGUAAAUGUUUUUAAAUUAUUUUAUUGUUGUCCAUGUUUUAUGCGCCUGACACGUAAUUACUUCAUCGUGGUACAUUAUAAAAUGUUAUUCUGCACAUUUCUGCGGAUAAACAUUGCAGCUGAGGCCAGCAGCAAGAUAUACAUGCAAGGCACUGAAGCUUCACAUCACAUGCCUUGCCCGGAAGUGCAUUGAAUUUUUUUUUCGAGCGGAAUGAGAGACUGCUAUACAGCAGCCUCUCAUUCGAAGGAAGUCGGCACAUGUGCACAUUUUGAAACCUUUUUGAGGAGUGUUUUCAGGAGAAGCAAUAGAGUCUUGACAUGUCAACAACAGCAUUAUUUGUACCGAGGAGCUUAGUAACAGCGAAUUGUUUUAUUCAUGUAUUGUCCAGAAUUUGUCCGACCUGUGCCUAACAUGGCACACGUUAUACCUGUGCCUAACACGUCACCCUACAUGGCUUCUGAUAGUGUUGUCAAUGUGCCGGACUAUGUAAAUAAACUAUGUGUCAUAUUGCAGACAUGUACCAAAAUGUGAUGCAUUGCGCUUUUCCUUGGCAUCACAUUGCCAGGGUCUCUUUUCUUAUAUAUCGUCGUGGGCUGCCGCCCACGAAAAUGUACAAAAAUUGCUUGUGAGUGGGCAGCAGCAGGAACUAUGCAUCAAAUUGUUCCAAGAGGGUUCGAGAAAUGCCGAGUUGGCACAUAAGAGUGGUGAGAGAUUUCUCUCGUAAGUUCCUGCCUUGAAACCUCAUGUGCUCAGCAUUGUAUCAGCAUUGUUGUUUUAUAGCAGUUCAUCCUAUUACCUACACCUCAAUGUAUGUAUGUAUGUAUGUAUGUAUGUAUGUAUGUAUGUAUGUAUGUAUGUAUGUAUGUAUGUAUGUAUGUAUGUAUGUAUGUAUGUAUGUAUGUAUGUAUGUAUGUAUGUAUGUAUGUAUGUAUGUAUGUAUCUUUUAAACAAAAACUUACGUUUUUUUGUUUACUGUAACUUUUAUAAGAAUUUUGCUAUUUGCUUUCUAGUUCUCCUUUUUCUAUCUCAUUUUCAUUUCUCAAGUAUGUUUCCUACUGUGCAAAAAUGAAUAUAACCUUACAUAAAAUGUGUGCAUUCAAACAAGAUGUUUCAUUUUACAACGUACAUUUCUGAGCAAGAAGUUGGAAACUAUGCAACCAACCAGCAAAAAUAAGUUUAUAGGACAGCUCCUCCGUCUAACAUUGCUUCUACAGAUUGCGUAGAAUAGACUAAUCGACUUCAACCAACAUAACCAAGCUUUCGCCCGUGGCUGUACAUACUUUUACAUAUGUGCGUGGUAUUUCUACGUAUUGUCAUUACGUACGUGUUGCCAAUUACUAUUUAGGGCACAAAACUAGUCAAGCUGAAUACGCGGAUUUUUUUCUGUCCACCUGUCAUCUAUACUGUAACUGCUGUUGAUAAAGAAUAA